GGGCCCCUGCGGUGUUCGUGAUUGAUAGAGCGUUCCUGAGCCAACAUUAAAUGACUGGGGGCCCUCUCUUGCCUGGUUGUGCAGAUCAUCUAGGUGAUCAGCCUGAAAGGGUAACGGGGCACCCACUUUGCUGAAUCGGUUCAAGACCGACUACCGACACGGCACAAUGCGGGGGCACU
rfam:Syntrophobacteraceae bacterium CG2_30_61_12 cg2_3.0_scaffold_2595_c, whole genome shotgun sequence.